GGCGGGCGCGCGGGCGGGCGGGCGGGGGGGGCGGGGGACAGGCGACCAGAGCCGCGGACUUCCCACAGCUCCUAGGGCUGCCUCGGCCGCAGCGGCCGAGGACAGCAGGGCACCGCGCGGCCCCGGACGUCUCCUGCACCCCGGCCACCCCCGGCAUCCCAGGCUCCCCGCGUGCCCAGGCCGCGCCUCCCCGCGCCUCGCCUCCCCACCGCCGGGACCUGGCGACGUCACUGCGGCUCUGACGCGCGCUAAUGGAGGCACGGGCGGAGGCGGCUUGGCGCGGGUGUCCCCCGGGGAGGUCCCGGUCCUUGCAGCUCGCGGUCGCGUCCUUGGCCCUCCUCCAGGGGAACCUCGAUUUUCCAAUCUCAGGAAGGCCGGCUGUCCUUCGGCUACUGAUAAGGACGCGAGCUCAUGGUAAAAGAUUUUAACAAUGCCCGGAAAGAAAUAGCCGGACCCAAGAAAGAGACUAAUAAUAGCAGCCCGCUAGAGUUCUGCUCUUGUGCUCAGCGCUCUUAAGAACAGUAAUAACGACAACAACCAUAAGAGCCACCAUUUAUUGAGCGCUUACUCUGUGCCAGGCACUGUGUUAAGCGCUUUGCAGGCAACAACCCUCGGAGUAAGGCUCCAUGCCAAUGUGGGGCUUGAACUCACAACCUUGACAUCAAGAGGUACAUGCUCUACCAACUGAGCCAGCCAGGCACCCCCAGGAAGACCUAACUAUAAAGCCAUGUUCCCAUCAGCUGAUCCAACUGAACAGAAGAGAAACCCUGGCGGCCGGGCGGCUGCUUGCCGUCUGAUGCAACAGUUUGCAACGCUCGCUUCUGGGAGCGGAGCCUGCCGCGGGGCGCUGGGCGCACCGCCGACGCGCAUGCGCGGACUGCGGCCCCGCCGGGCCGGGCUGGGGAGAAGCUUUUCACCAG